GAGAACAACAUCUUGUUUAAUAAAAACGGCAUGAGAAAUAUGCAGCUUUGGCCUGUUUGCUGAAAUGGCCAAGGACAAUGGGUCAAAGAAAGGACAUGUACAAAGCAAGCUCUGCAUGUUCCAGCGGUUUGCAAACAACAGGUGGCUGGCUAAAUUCUGGAGAUAAGGAGCUGAGAAACAAGAGUCAGGCAUCUUCCAGAAGGAACAGAAAAUAUAAACAUCAAGUUAUACUGGGAACACGAAUCGGGUGGUGAUUGGGGAAUAAAGGGGCCUCCCCUUUACAGAAAUGCUAUAUAUAAUCAAAGGAUUUUAUAAUAAAGUGAUUCUGUGUCUACACCCUACAGAGUCUGUGUCCAUCAUACAGCACAGGGCACCUGAACAGGGACAUGAAAAAUAACAAAGGGACUUGAAAAAUAACAAAAAGAAAGCAGCAACAAUACUUACCGGUGGUGUACCCCUACGCAGCUGGAUGGAGGAUAUUGCAUCAAGCAGUCAUACUAAUCACCAGUCGUUGGACAGCACAGUUUUUGAAGAUGUAGUAACUGAGCUUCAGCGAUACGGCCUCCAAAUUGCGACAGAAAAGGUGCAAUCAGUUCCUCCAUGGAAAUACCUUGGUUGGAAACUUCUUGAUUCGUAUGUAUAUCCACAGUCGGUCUGACUUGCUACCACAGUGAGUACUUUGAAUGAUUUACAAAAGCUGUUGGGAACAAUUAACUGACUUCGACCUCUGUUGGGUAUAACAACACAUGAACUGUCACCACAGUUUUCUUUACUGAAAGGGAACCCUGAGCUAACUUCUUCUACGAUUGACAGAAGACACUCAGUCAGCACUUCAAACAGUGACAGAUAAAAUUAAUUCCACAUUUGCUCACUGAAUUUCCCUCCAGUUGUCAGUUUGAUUGUUUGUCAUUUAUCAUUCUUUUCAACUGUAUGCUCUUCUAGGCCAAUGGGACAAAGGAAGAGGAUGCUUUGCGCAUUUUAGAAUGGCUAUUUCUACCACAUUUUUUUGCCAAGACGUUAACCACUGCCCUAGAGAUGAUUGCCAGACUUGUUUCACAAGGUCAUUUGAAAUGUCAACAAAUAACAGGAUGAGAUCCUGUCUUUAUCCAUUUACCAUUAACAAUAGAAGAGUUUCAUGCUGUGUUGUGUAACAGUUUAACUUUUCAGGCUGCCUUGGCUGAUUAUACUAAUGUUGUUUUGUAUUCUCUGCCAUGUCAUCUUUUAUUAGGUUCUUUACACUGCUUACCUCUCCAACCACAAUCCUUGUUGAGUUCUGUUCCUUUGCAAAAUGCACGUACUGUAUUUAUUGAUGGUCUGGUAAAACAGGUAAAGCUGCAGUUGUUUGGCAACAAGCAGACUGUGAAGAAUAGGCCUCAGAUGUUUUGCAUCUCUCUGGGUCUACACAAUUUGUUGAAUUAGCUGCAGCAGUUCAUGCUUUUGAAUUAUUUUCCAGGGAACCUCUUAAUAUAUGUGCAAUAUAGUCACAGAUUCUGCAUAUGUCACGCGUAUUAUUCAGUGUUUAGAAUCUGCUUUUAUAUGGGAGGUGGACAACAAACAGUUGUUUGAUUUAUUGUUAAAACUGGCGCAGCUUUUGAAAACAAGACAACAUUUCUAUUUUGUCGUUGAUAUUCAAUCUCACACUAACCUACCAGGACCUCUUGCUGAAGGUAAUGCAAUAGCAGAUCGAUUUACAAUGGCUGCAGUUUCUCCCCAGCUUUUUGAGCAGGCCAAAUUGGCUCAUGAAUUUUUUCAUCAAAAUGCACACUCCUUACGGAAACAUUUUUCUCUAACAACUGAACAAGCUCAGGAUAUAAUUUGGGCAUGCCCAGAUUGUCAGUGGCUUUCUCCUUUACCUGUUUUGCCUAGAACUACUCCUAGAGGUUUAAAUGCAAAUGACUUGUGGCAAUAAGAUGUCACACACAUUUCUUCCUUUGGACAACUUAAGUAUGUCCACGUUUCUAUCGAUACCUUCUCUGGGUUUUUAAUAGCCACUGCUCAUUCUGGGUAAUGGGCCCAGGAUGUUGUGAAACAUUUUUUGCGAUGGUUUGCAACCAUGGGGGUUCCCUGGAAGAUGAAGACAGAAAAUGGAUCAGCUUAUGUUUCUCGCCAUUUUCUCUAAUUUUUGCAGGAUUGGGGAAUUGAACAUAUUACUGGAAUCCCACAUUCUCCAACUUGUCAGGUGAUUAUAGAACACGCCCACCAUUCUUUGAAAUCUCUUACUGAUAAACAAAAAAGGGGGAAUUCGGUAGGGAUAACACUGCAGGAAAUAUUGGACAAAGCUAGUUAUGUUUUAAAUUUUCUUAAUCUAUCUGGGUCUAAACAAUAUAGUUCCACAGUAGAUAGACAUUUUAGAGCUGAGGAAUCCUCCACUCUGAGACCCCAGGUGUUUUAUAAGAAUUUGGAAUCUGGUCAAUGGGUGGGACCAGUUCUCUGCUUACAUGGGGACAGGGAUGUGCUUGCUUGUGUUUCUCUUCCUUCAGGUCCUUACUGGAUCCCUGCAAGAAAUGUAAAGCCAGCCCAAGUGAAAACACAUGCUGAAGAUGAACAGGAUUUGUGUAUCUUUUAGUAAUGUACAAAAUAAGUCUUAUCUUUUUCCUCUUUGGUGGCAUUCGGAAUUACGGUUACCGGUGAAUUUGACAAGAUCGUGGGAAGGUGAAGGUGGUUUGGCUCAAUUUGCUAGUAUUUUAUAACAAAAAGUAAGUGAGACAAAAAGAAGAACUAGAUGGUUUUUAGGAUGGUUGAUAUUUGCAAUAAUUUCUGUGGUUAUUAUUAUAGCCUUGGCUGCUACAGCAGCAGCCUCACUUACACAAUCUGUUAAAACUGCACACAUAGUUGGAGAAGCCUUGACAAAUGUGACUAAAGAAUUUCAAAUACAAGAAAAAAUUGAUGAAGAGGUUUUAUCUCGAUUUCAGGCCAUACAAGCCACAGUGAUGUGGCUGGGAGAUUGGCAGGAGGCACUCAAAACCUGAGUAAACCUGCAAUGCGAUUGGGAACAUAAACAUAGAGCUUUAUGUGUCACGCCUCUCCUGUGGAAUAGUACUCAGCAUAGCUGCGAUUUUGUGAAACAACAUUUACAGGGGGUGUUUACUUAUCUUUUCAGCAUAACAUUCAAUCUCUGCAUGAUCAAUUAAAGGACCAAAUUAAGAAAUUGCAAGACCUAACAAGUGAAAGUGUGCUUCAAACAUUAAGGAAUGAUUUGUCAUGGCUAAAUCCAAAAACUUGGUUUAGUGGAUUAAAUCUUCGAAUGUGGGUAUGUAUUGGUAUAGGUGCUGUGUUGUUUUUCUUGUUCUUAGUGUCUUUACAGAUUCUACGGUCAGCUAUCCAGCGAGUGCAAAAGGUAGAAGCCUGCAUUAUGGCCACACUGUUAAUCAACAGAUUGGUCAUAAAGAAGAAAGGGGGAGAUACAAAAUCAGAGAAUUUUAUAUUAAAGUGAUACUGUGCCUACA